rnacentral:rRNA from 1 species
AUUGAACGCUGGCGGCAUGCCUUACACAUGCAAGUCGAACGGCAGCACGGGAGCAAUCCUGGUGGCGAGUGGCGAACGGGUGAGUAAUAUAUCGGAACGUGCCCAGUCGUGGGGGAUAACGUAGCGAAAGCUACGCUAAUACCGCAUACGAUCUAUGGAUGAAAGCGGGGGAUCGCAAGACCUCGCGCGAUUGGAGCGGCCGAUAUCAGAUUAGGUAGUUGGUGAGGUAAAGGCUCACCAAGCCGACGAUCUGUAGCUGGUCUGAGAGGACGACCAGCCACACUGGGACUGAGACACGGCCCAGACUCCUACGGAGGCAGCAGUGGGGAAUUUUGGACAAUGGGCGCAAGCCUGAUCCAGCAAUGCCGCGUGCAGGAUGAAGG